rfam:Triticum aestivum genome assembly, contig: Triticum_aestivum_CS42_TGACv1_scaffold_148429_2BS
AUACUACUCCCUCCGUCUGGAAUUACUUGUCAUAAAAAUGGAUAAAAAUGGAUGUAUCUACAACUAGAAUAUGUCUAGAUACAAUCAUUUCUCCGACAAGUAUUUUCGGACGGAGGGAGUACUAU